GGUAAAAGAAUAGCAAAGAAACAGCACUAACAAAGUUUAGACCCAUAAAUUUUGAAGGUCUAGCUACCAUAUUAUUACCCACAAGGGUAAAGGAACAGUACCACUGCUGGAUAAUUGGAAGGUCCCUGUGUGUCAACCUCUGUGCUUCGUGGCAAGGUAGACUAGCAAACAUGCCCAACCUUUACUCACAUUCGAGAAAACACUCCCAAUAAGAUUGCUUGCUCCAAAAUCGAAGAGGCACCGUCCUCCGAAUCUCGAAUCUCGAGAGAGCCAGACUCCCAACAUGACUACUUUUCUUAAAAAAUCGAAGAGAGGGUAAAGGAACAGUACCAUUGCUGGAUAAUUGGAAAGUCCCUGUGUGUCAACCUCUGUGCUUCGUGGCAAGGUAGACUAGCAAACAUGCCCAACCUUUACUCACAUUCGAGAAAACACUCCCAACAAGAUUGCUUGCUCCAAAAUCGGAGAGGCACCGCCCUCCGAAUCUCGAGAGCCAGACUCCCAACAUGAUUACUUUCUCAAAAAUCGAAGAGACACUGCUCCCCGAAUCUUCGAGAGCCAGAGCCCCAGCAUGAUUCCUUUCUCAAAAAUCGA
rnacentral:lncRNA from 1 species